CCUUUUCUGUCUCCUACUUCUGAGUUCUGAGCUAACUAGUCCAUGCACAGAUAUACAAAUUUCCUUUCGAAUUCCCCGGCUCUAGCUGAACAUUUCCAUUCUGACAUGAACAUACACAAGGAAGAGAUCGAUGAGAAUCGGAGUUAAUUGCUAUAUAAAUUACCAUGUAUAGGGUUGUUACAAAAGGCUUGGAAAUAAGUCAAAUAACAAAUGUGUAUGUGAUCACAUACGAGAAUUCAAAUCGUUAAAACUUGGAUUGGAUAAAAACAAAAUUAAUAUAAUGUUGUUACAUUCAAUAGAAAUCAAUGAAGUUUUAAGUACCAUGUAUGUAUAUGUAAAUCGAUAUGAUAUAGGUCCGAUGAUCAAACUUCCAAAGAAGAAAUUGAGUUUGAUCGAAAAUGGCGGAACCAAGUACCGCCAUGCAUGCUCAAAGCUUUGAAGGCCGGCCUAGUGUAAUAAUCUCAACUCUACCUAUAGCGUCGUGCUAGUGUACGUUGUCUAUCUUUUCAAGCAUGACCAUCGAUCAGUCUUCAAAUUAGUUGGCUUAGAAUUUUCCAUACAUGUCCAGUUCUGCAUUGUACUCUAGACACCGGUGGGUUAAAUACGCAACACUACAUCCAAUUGAUGUCACCAGAACCCAUCGGUCGCGGGAAAAUUGAUGGUGAUCGGAAAAUCGCCAGAGACGCCGGAGUCUCAUUGGAUUUUUUUGAAAAAAAUGUCACCAGAACCCACCGGAUCUUGCCGGAAGCAUACCGGCAAAAAAUGAAGUUUACUACCCCUAGUAAACUUUUACUGGGGGUAGUAAAUUUGCAAAACAGUAGCUCAAAUGUCAUAAUUCACAUUGAAAAAGAGAAAAAUCAACUUAGAUGCGAAAAAAUAAAGUUUACUACCCCUAGUAAACUUUUACUAGGGGCAGUAAACUUGCAAAACAGUAGCUUCAAUGCCAUAAUUCACAUUGAAAAAGAGAAAAAUCAAUUUAGAUGCGAAAAAAUGAAGUUUACUACCCCUAGUAAACUUUUACUGGGGGCAGUAAACUUACAAAACAGUAGCUCCAAUGCCAUAAUUCAUAUUCAAACGGAGAAAAAUCAACUUAGAUGUGUAGUAAACUUUUACUAGGGGUAGUAACCUUGCAAAACAGUAAC
rnacentral:lncRNA from 1 species